AGGUUGCGGUAAGCUGAGAUCUCCACUCCAGCCUGGGCGACAGAGCAAGACCCUGUCUCAAAAAAUAAACAGUUUGAAAUUCUGUUUGAAGAACUUUGGGAUUCACUUUGAAUAGUCAGUAGUUACCCAGGACUAUUGCAAAACAGAGACCAGCACUCACAGUACUGAGCAAUAGCCAGCAGGGCGGUUGGGCAGAGGAGGUGAGCACAGUUUUGGGGCUUUCAUUGGUGGUGUAAUGUGUCCGUUGCAUCUCUGGUGGUGAGUAUUAGCAAAGUCCUGAAUCAUAUCCAUCCGUCUAUGUUCACUUCAGACCUAAGGGUUGAAAUUAGUCACUUCCAAAUGAGUAAAGCAGAGGAUGUCAUUUUGAUCGAACACCAACUCUCUGAUAUUAUUCCAGAUGUUUCCUGGAAAUUUGGUUGGAAAGGUGGUGCACUGGAACAUGUUUACAGGAUGAGGGGGAAGAGGCAGAAGAGACAAGAUCAAAGAUGAAGGAGAAAGGGGGAUUCUUGGAGCGAGAUCCCUGAGGAGGCAAGAGUUGGAGCCCUGUGGGACAUUGGUUUUGAGAGAACAGAUAGGGCGCAGGCAAGCUUACGGCAGAAGGGUCCCUGGCACAGAUCAGUCACACCCAGCAGCUUGUGUAUCCUCUGUGGAGAAGAGGGGGGUCAUUUGUUGAGUGGUCAUGGUGACUGGAUACAGUCGUGAGUGCCAUAAGUCCUUGAGGGCUCAGCUGAGGCAGGGCAACUUGUAUUUGCGGACAGUCUGGCAAAGUGGUUCUAAGUGUAAAAUCCAGAGCCACACUGCCAAGGUUCAAUCCUGGCUCCAUCUCUGACUAGCUGUGUGACCUCAGGCAAGCCCCUUAAUUCUUCUGAGCCUCAGUUUCCUUUUCCGUUCAGUGAGAACGGAAUGACAUCCAGCUCAGGUUUUCAUGAGGGUUCAAUAAGUUGUUCUUGGUUCAGUACUAGGGACCACACCUGCCAUGUAGUUAGACACUGUAGUGUUAGCUCUUGUUAUUGCUUUAAAUAGAAAUGAUGACUAAGGAGAAAGGCCUAUCCUAAUUGCCAUGAAUUGGCCCAUAUGAAAUUACUUGAUACCAGCAGCUGUCUAAAUAUUGCCCGAUUUUAAGCUCGGCUCUUAACAACCCAAGUAUAAGAACUAAAUAGAGGCAAGGCACAAAAAAAAAAAAAAGUUUUUUUUUUUUUUUUUAGCUCACUGUGGUUUCCUUCAAACCCUGCAGGAUUUCUUUCGUGCCACAAAUAUGUAGUUUUUGGAAUUUCUGUAGUGACUUUUACUGUUUAUUCUGCUUUGUGGAUAGCAUACUCGUGCCUGGGGAACAUGGGUCUUGAGAAAUGUGAAGCUGGAUGGUGGCAAACCAUUAGUCCUUGGCUUCUAGGCUGUGGAUACAUGGCUGCCUCUGAUUUGGGAGAUUUCCUGUAUAUUGCCUCGUUUCUAGUUAAGGAUUCAAGUUGACAGACACUUUGUUUUAGGUUACAUCUAUCAUUGAAAUGUGGGGUAACUGAAAGGCCAACAAGAAAAGAGUGUGCUUCCUCCCCAGGUGUGGUUUUCCUGGGGGCGAGGGACGAGGCCGGUGGCAAAUCCGCAGCCCCAGGAAGAUGCAGCACAGACUUUUGGAGCUUCUCUUGUCACUGCCCUGGAUCUUCUUUCGGCCUCAUUCUAGUUGCUGUCAGUGGGUAAAUAUGUUCACAGAUUAGAACGCCUUCGUAACUAAGAUAAAGCCACAAGGUUUAUUUUGUUACAGUUCCUGUGUGCUUGCUUAAAGGCUUUGAGAGUACAUUCAUGAUAUGAUUCUGGUAACUCCUGUUUUAAUUCUUAGAUGCAUUGAUAAGCAUACUGUAUUGCUGUAAACCAGUGUGAAGCAUGGAGGGGGUUCAAAUGAACCGGUAAGAAAAAAAUUGCAAUCCUUGGAAAGCCAUGCGAUUACACAAGAUUAUAGAAAGGCCCUGAGGUUUCUCUGAUUUAGCCCUUUCAUUGUGCAAAUAAAGCAACCAAGGACUUUUGAGUGUACAUGGGAUUUGCCAGAUAUCUUUCUAUUAGUUAAUGAACAAGAUGGUAUUAGAAGGUGAGUCAUCUUUUCCACUGCACCAUACUACUUACGUUCUGCCUCUUUGGAGUCCUUCAUUUCAUUUUUGGUUAUUCCUUUUUCACCUGGUAAGUCCUCCACUGGUGUUUGAAAGAAUGCACGAGAGUUGCCCUUCAUGGGCCUGCACACAGGGCUGGGCAGGGAUUUCUUUCUGUCAACGGUGCUGUAAUGUUUAAGACCCAGCUGGAGUCAUUUUCCAAGCAUUUGACCUGACUUCCUGUACUGUGUGUCCUCCCAGGGGGAGAGAUUGAUCCCGAUUAAAUGAGUUGUUCCGAGUGAUGCACAGAGCAUCAGUGUCUGAAUUGGCCUUAGCAUUCACUUUGAGCUCCUUCGGUUAAAAGCCUGGUUAGGGCGAGCUGUUGGCCAGGUGAAACUGUUGCUGUCGCCCUGACACUGUGAACCAAAUCUCCUUUAAAUGACAACAUUGUUAGAGUCCUGUGGCUGCUUGUAAACAUAUUUUGGCUUCAGUUGCUGCUUUCUUGACCUGAAAUUAUAAAAUGAAUUGGGAGUACCUGUUGCAAAACUACAAAUUUUGACAAGAACAUUGAGAUGUCGGCUUCUUUUUGCUGAAAUACUGAGGCAAGACAUUUCAAGAAAAUUUUAUGUUCCCAUAGAAUGUCACAAGUGACUCUGGCAUAAAUUCCAGGUUGAAACCUUACCAUGUAAUUAUAGUUUCCCCGCUUCUUGUCCUUUGGGCAACCUUUCUUUUCUGUAAGAAAUAUAACUGGUCCCCUGGGUGGCAGGAAAUCCAGGUGGGGGGUGCGCUGCUUCUGGUUCGGCGGACUGUAAGGUAUGCUGCACAGGGCUUCCUUGGGCCUGGCCCCACACUUCCUUUGCACCAGCACUGUCCUGCCAAAAGCCAGAAAUCCUGGAAGAGGGCCGAAUCUAGUUUAUUACUUGCCUGUUGGAAAUGUAGGCUUGUGUUUUUUGGCAAGGCAUGAGCAGAGCCCGGUUAUUUGACUGCUCUGAGAUUUAGCUCCAUUCCGUUUUUGGACAAUGACAUAUGAGCAUGUGUGAACAGCAGCCCCAUUUCCCCCCAGUUUGCCUGCCCUAGACAUGCCCCCAGACAGCUGGCUCUGCCAGCUUUCCCGAUGCCAGGUUCUAGAGCCCCUGUUCUUCUCCCUCCCCUGCUCAUUUCCAGUCCGCCAGAGUGGGCAGUGUCAGAGGUCCCAUGUAGUCUCCUCUCUUGUGAGGAACACCAGAGCACCUGUAGUCUCUAAGCCAACUAGCCGGUAUCAAGGGCUCCUGGGUUAUGGAAAUGAAACCAGGGCUGGGAAAAGAUGUUCCCUGUCCCGUAUCCCUUUCAAUGAAGAUAAACACGAAUUUUAGCAAAUUAGAGCAUUGCUGCAGUGCCUAGAACAAUGCCUGGCGUGUAGUAGAUGUUUAAUAAAUUCUUGUUUAAUGAACAACUUAUAUAUUCUUCAAUUAUUUCAUCCUAGGGACUGAUAAGUUUUCUCAUUCUAUCAGAGAAAAUAAAGGUUAUGAGGGUUGCAUUAGGUAGAGUAAGCUAGGCUACAGCUAAAAAUAGACUCAAAGAUGUGUAAUGGCUCAAAUGCAACAGAAGUUUAUUUCUUGCUCUUGUUCAAGGUGGAUGUUUCUGGUUAGCAGGUGACUCUCCUCCAUUGAGUUCAGGGAUUCAGGUUCCUUCCAUCUUGUGACUCUGCCGUCCCCAACGACCACGUUGUUGAUAGUGUCCAGUGGCAAAAGGGAAAAAAGAGUGGACUAGCACAGAUAGGAGGUUCUUACGGGCCAAACCUAUGAGUGUUGCCUAUGACUUCGGCUAGAAUUCAAUUACAUGGCCACAGCUAACUCCAAAGAGGCUGGGAAAUACAGUCUAUUGUGUGCCCAGGGGUACACUAAAUUUUGAACAUCUGUGUCAUCUUCGAGCUUAGAUUCCUAAAAUGUAUCUGCAGCCCAACUUUGAGAUUCAGAAGUCCUGAUACAAGGUUCCAUGGUAAAUUUUGCUUGGUUUAAGUCCUCCUGCCAAUGAAAACCAAGUGACAUUAGGAAAAGGUCUAUACUUUUAACAAUAAGUAAAAAAAAAAAAAAAAAAAAAAAAAAA